rnacentral:rRNA from 1 species
UGAUGCGCAGAAUUUUUUUAAAGAAAAUAGGAUUUGAUACCCUAAUAUUUUAGAUUAUAAAUUGAUUUUUUUUUUCUACCAAAGUAUUAUGAAUAUAAAUUUAAAAUUUAAAGAACUUGGCGGUGUCUUAGACUACUUAGGGGAACCUGUUUUUUAAUCGAUAGUCCUCGUUUUACCUUACCUUUUUUUGUUUUCAGUUUGUAUACCGUCGUCGUCAGUUAACUUUAGAAAAAAUAGAAGUUGUCUUUUUAAAUUUUAGUUUUAGAUGUCAGAUCAAGGUGCAGCUUAUAGAAUGGUUAAUAUGGGUUACAAUUAUUAAUUUAUAAUAUGGAUUAUUUUAUGAAAUUAUUUUUUGAAGGAGGACUUAAAAGUAAUUUAAUUUA